rnacentral:rRNA from 1 species
GGAGUUAGCCGGUGCUUCUUCUGCGAGUAACGUCACAGAUGUAAGGUAUUAACUUACACCCUUUCCUCCUCGCUGAAAGUGCUUUACAACCCGAAGGCCUUCUUCACACACGCGGCAUGGCUGCAUCAGGGUUUCCCCCAUUGUGCAAUAUUCCCCACUGCUGCCUCCCGUAGGAGUCUGGGCCGUGUCUCAGUCCCAGUGUGGCUGAUCAUCCUCUCAGACCAGCUAGGGAUCGUCGCCUAGGUGAGCCUUUACCUCACCUACUAGCUAAUCCCACCUGGGCUUAUCCAUCAGCGCAAGGCCCGAAGGUCCCCUGCUUUCCCCCGUAGGGCGUAUGCGGUAUUAGCAGUCGUUUCCAACUGUUAUCCCCCACAAAUGGGCAAAUUCCCAGGCAUUACUCACCCGUCCGCCGCUCGUCAUCUUCAAAAGCAAGCUUUUGAAAUGUUACCGCUCGACUUGCAUGUGUUAGGCCUGCCGCCAGCGUUCAAUCUGAGCCAGUNACAACAACUCACGACGUAGGACGGCGGCGCGACGACGGC